AUGCUGAGGCGGCCCCGCCAUGAGCCGCCCUUCCCGCCCGCUGAGGCGAGGAGGGGGCUGAAAUUUUUUUUUGGAGGGGGGGGGGGGGGGGACGAAAAAUGGGGGCACCAGGGCAGGCUGAGAGAAGCGGAGGAAGGGGAGGAAGGAGGGAAAAGAGAAGUGCGGCAGCGAUGGGGAAGAACGGGGGAGGGGAGCGGGGUGGAAGGGCGCAGCCACGCAGAGGAAGAAGGAACCGGGGAUGGAGGGGGAGAGCUGAGGGAAAGGGGGGGGGCGGCGGGAAGAUGGCCUCAGGGUGGGGCUGCGGCGGGGACGAAGGGCUCGGGGAGCCCCGUGUGGGGGAGAAGGGGGCUGAAGAAAGCCGGGCAAGGCUUUAUUGGGGUCCGACCCGCCCCAGCCCGACCCGCGGCCGGUUACCUGCUCAUUAACGGGGCCGCUUCGGCCGCCCGCGGCUCCUGCCCGCGUCCCCGCCGGCCUGGGGAGGGGAAGGGAGGAGGAGAAGGAUGGCGAGGAGGAAGGCAGCCGUCCGCGCUGGGUCUGGCCGAUCCCGCCGAGGCAGCGAGCAGCUCGGGCCGUAGAGUCGGAAGCGGAGAGCAGCGGAGGGGGGGGGGGGCAAAGGGGUGUCGCUGGCUCUCGGCUCCUCCUCGCACGUUCGGUCCCCGCUUAGCUCCCCGCAGCCAUCGGGAAGCAAGCAGCCUGGGCGCGGUUAACCUCCCCCCCCCCAGCCGCCCCGCCCGUGCUGCCCGGCCGGGAAACCCCGGCUGGGCUCGGCUCCUCCUCACAGCCAGCCCCCGGUACGGCGCCGCCCCGCUACCCAACCCCAACCCCAGGCCGACGGCGCCUAAGGCCUCUUUCGUUCCCCUUAGGCAGCGCCCUGCUCCCUUAGCCCCUCAGGAGCGUGUGGAGGCUGAAAAAAAGGGGUUUUGCUGCCGGGAAGGGCGCUGGAGGAGCCGCUUUCCUCCGCCCCGUCCUCGGGCGCUGCCUCCUCACAGCGCGGACAAAGGGCGCGGGCCGCCCGGGUUUCGCUUCCCGCCCUCACGGGGCGCCCAGGCCCGACGCCAGCUCGGCGGUGAAAAGCCCGGCGUAAACAGCAAAAAAACAGCCCCGAAAGUGGCGCUAAACGGUCAAAAAGAGCGUGGAGGGAGAGCAGGGUUUGGAGGGAGAGCAGAUAAACCUUUUUCACUGAAGUACUGGACCUCACGUAACCCAGGCAGGACAGAUGUUACCAAUAUGGGAUCAUUUCACUCCAGUGCUCAUACACUAAAACUUCAUUACUUAUUGAUGGAAAGACACCACACCAUGCAACUUGAGGGCUCAGAUGGCCACAGGCAUCCCACUCAGACAUCUCUGCUGCAGAGAUAUACCGCAUGUUUCUUAUGGUAACUUCAGACGUUCCUGGACUUUGAAAGAAUAAUCGUCACCAAACAG
rnacentral:lncRNA from 1 species